CAAGACCUGUGAGUUCGAAUCUUGAUUUUUAAAAUUGCGAGGUAUUUAACUAACAUUUAAUGAAAAAAAAAAGCAUUAAAUUAUAUAAUUUACAUCAAAUGAAAUUACUAUUUAAAAUACUUUUUCCCCAAUAACGACACGCCAAUGUAUAUUAAGAAGAGAAAUUGAAUAGUAUAUACUUUCAAAUGAUUUUUACCCUCCUUUUUUUUAAUAAGAAAGAAAAUUCUACCAAUAAGCAGAAUUCUAUUAAAGGGCGAAGAAAAUAUGAGGGGGAAAAAUCAAUGGUGGUUUAAUCCCAGGACCAGUAGGCCCAGCCCCAUACACCCAAAUUAUACAAACGA
rnacentral:misc_RNA from 1 species